GGUCAAAAUCUUCCAUUGUGUCAAGGGUCACCUCUUCUGAUCACGAUAUACAAGGAAAGAUGAGUGCUUCACUCCCUGUCUUGGACAGAACUCUCUUGUGAAGUCAGAUGUUGUGUCCAUGACAGGCAUGCUUGAACAGUUCUUUGAUGGAAGCAUGCCAGAAAUUACCCACACCCACACACAUCAUCGGAUACAAGGCUGUUACAAAAGACUGCUGUCACAACUUGUGAUCUCAUUCAUUUACAAGAGGCUGCCAUCAUCACCGCUGGCCGAAAGACCCGUCACGCAAUGGCUAACUUGUGACCUCGUUCAUUUCUCAACACGUCAAAACUUGAUGAACAAUCAUCUCAUAACUUGCGUGAUAUAUAUUCGCGUCUCAGUCAUUUUCAAAUCCAAUCUCCAGAAAGCUGUUAUCUCGGCUCAGCGUGAUUAGUGUAAACGCGUCUUGGUACACUGUGUGCGCUUGUUGGUGGUACGAGGGAAGACCAUCGUGUGUGCAAAUUCAGAAAAGGUGAUUAAAGAAAGCAUUCAACACAAUUAUUAAGCUGUUGGCCACAAAAUAUUCCAUCAUACUGCACGAACUACCGUCAUCUCAUACACUACUUAGAUAACUACUAUUUGAAAGAAAACUGUCAAGCAGUAAUAAAUGAUUGAAAACA